UGCAUUAUGAAUACUCUACUAGCAAGGAACAAGAAUGAUCUACAAGAACACAAGAUGAGAGCAAUGAAGUCUGAAUCAAAAGAAGUUUUUACUAGUUCUUCUCUGGAAAAAGAGAUAUCUUGCCUGCUGUGGCUUACAAAAGUACUUAACUUAGGUUUUUUUGGCAAUGUAAAACGUGCAUAAUGAAAUGACCAAAAGGCCCUUAGAAAAACAUGAGUUCGACAGGCCAAUAGACGCGGAGCGACCUCGGCAUGUCGCUCCGACAAGUCGCUCCGGCCUUCGGGAGCGACCUCAGUGGGUCGCUCUGAGAGGUCGCUCCGGGCUUCGUUUUGUGUCGUCUCGCCAUGGAAACGCGAGCGACCUCGGAGCGUCGCUCUGGCAAGUCGCUCUGGGAGGGGUGUCUCGCGAUAGAAACGCGAGCGACCUCUCCAUGUCGCUCCGGGAAGGUCGCUUUGGGAGGGGUGUCUCGCGAUAGAAACGCGAGCGACCUCUCUAUGUCGCUCUAGCCAGGUCGCUCCGGGAUGUGUGUCACAGCGACUUCAUGUAGUCGCUCCAGGAAGUCGCUCCAGGCAGUGCUCAUCCAAAGAUCACUCUAAUCACCUCCUUUGAGCUCCAAAUGCUCCCAAAUGUCUCUAGGAACUCCAUGUGGUACUCCAAUACCUAAUAGAGACAUAUGUAUGCAAAAUACAACCUAGACAUGGCUAAAUCCUAAUCUAUAUGAUGAAAAUACACAUGAAUAAAUGGAUAAAACAAUGUGAAUAUGCAAGAUAUAAGUUUUGUGAGUGAUCAUUUCAACAUUUUCUUUGGUUUUUUUGUCCUGUGAUUUUAGAUAAAACAGGGUCCGGUCCUCCUUUGAUAUUCCUAUGUAGGACCCACUAUCGGCUUAGAAAAAGAACGCCAUUGGCAUAAGGGAAUUGCGGACAAAGGCUUUAAAUUUAAAGCACUGAUAUGUACCAAGAGAAACGAGAUGAUGUGGAUAACGAUGAAGAAGAAUAUUAAAGGGUCAUGAUUUUGAGGAUGACUUUUUUGUUCCAACUUUUGUAGGGUCAACGAACAUUUGGAGAUUUUAAUUGCGCAUGCGAUAAUUGAAGGGUUUGUUUAGUUUUCAGAUCUGCUUGUCUAGGCUCAGAUCCGGUCGGAGAGAAUAUCCACGACGGUAGUGAGUUGUGUGGUUCUGUCUUCUCUGCUCAUGCUUCGGUGUCUCAGCAAGAAGAACCCUUAAGCUCCGUUUCCGUCGUCCUCCGUCAUCGGUGUGUACCUUCGGCCGAGGGUUUCAAUCUAGUUAAUCUCUCAUGUAUUUUCGAGCUUGUCUUAGUUGGUGCUUGAUUCAGCAACGGUGUAGCAUUUCGCGGUGAUGUGUGGUGAGCAAGUGCGGGUUAUGGUCUUUGAGAAGUAGGUGGUUGAAGUAGGUGGUUUCAGACCACCUAUUCGUCUCUUAGGUUUGUGGAGGCCUUCCCCCGCCUUGUCAUUUAGUGUUUAUCCUGGUAUUCAUUUGGUCUCUGUUUUCCUCGUGGCUUCGUCUGGUUGAGACAAUAUAAAGAGGUUGAGGCGUGGAGGCUUACGGUUUAAGGUGCGGUUGAGUAUGCUGCUCUUGCGGAUGUUGUUACAUCCUGGUUUUAUUUGUUGAGUUCAUGGCAGUGGUUUGGUUGUUUUCAUCGUGAACAGGUGGUUCAGAUGAGGUUUAUGCUCUUCAUGAAGAAGUCAUCCGCGUUGCUUGCUCUCUUGCGUCGUUCGUUGCAAGAACCCCGGCUAGUCUUAGCGCAUUAAGUCAUUGUUCUUUUAUCUUUAAAUGGUUGUUUCUGGGUUUCUUUAAAGGGGAGUAGGUGUUUAGUUUCAGAUGUUGGUUAGUAGCCCGUGUGUUUGGGUUCUAGAUUCCCGAUUUUGGGCUUAGUUUCCGGUGAUAUCUUUGUAUUCCGCCGGCUUUAGUAUCUCAACCUUGUAUCGUUCCCAUGUUAUCAAUGAAAUUCAGAUGGAAAAAAAUUGUUUGUUACAAA